CUCCAGGCAAGAAUAAAGGAGUGCGUUGCCAUUUCCUUCUUCAGGGGAUCGUCCUGAUCCAGUGAUCAGACCCAUGUCUCCUGAAUUGCAGGCAGAUUCUUUACUGCUGAGUCACCAGGGAUGCCCCCACGGCACAGAAGUGGAAACUGAGGCCCUGGUCUUCUGUGGUUAGGUCCUAUAGCUACUGAAUGGAAGGCUGGCUCCAAGGCCCAGGCUUUCACUGCUGUUCUCUACCAUUUAAAGGGGAGAGAGAUCUACAUUGGUGCAGCCAGGAGCUAAUUCUAAGGUGCCAGUGGCAUUUGGAGAUGCAGAGAUUUCAACCUUCAAAUCUACUGAGGUUCUUGAGUAUCUGACCGAACUAUCGGAUACCACAGAGAGACUGCAAGACUGAAAAGUAGCAAUGGCUUUGAUCAUUUACUGAGAAUUUUAAAUGAACUUGCUAUCAUGCUCAUUUAGACACUUUGGAAAAUGUAUUAUCAUCAUUUAACCAAUUAAUUUAGGUAAGCUUAUUGAAGAGUGCUUCACUUUGCACUUGUUGAACUUAAGGAUUGUUUAUACUUGCUUCCUUGGAACAAAUACAUCCAUAGUCCAAAUUAUAACAUGAUCUUUAC
ensembl:lncRNA